UACGACGGGUGCAAGCGUUACUCGGAAUUACUGGGCGUAAAGCGUGCGUAGGCGGUUUGUUAAGUCCGUUGUGAAAGCCCUGGGCUCAACCUGGGAAUUGCAGUGGAUACUGGCGAGCUAGAGUGCGGUAGAGGAUGGUGGAAUUCCCGGUGUAGCGGUGAAAUGCGUAGAGAUCGGGAGGAACACCCGUGGCGAAGGCGGCCAUCUGGACCAGCACUGACGCUGAGGCACGAAAGCGUGGGGAGCAAACAGG
rnacentral:rRNA from 1 species